UACGGGGGGAGCAAGCGUUGUUCGGAUUUACUGGGCGUAAAGGGCGCGUAGGCGGUCAGCACAAGUCAGUUGUGAAAUCUCCGGGCUUAACUCGGAAAGGUCAACUGAUACUGUGCGACUAGAGUGCAGAAGGGGCAACUGGAAUUCUCGGUGUAGCGGUGAAAUGCGUAGAUAUCGAGAGGAACACCAGCGGCGAAGGCGGGUUGCUGGGCUGACACUGACGCUGAUGCGCGAAAGCCAGGGGAGCGAACAGG
rnacentral:rRNA from 1 species